GCCUCUGUCGCUCAGUUGGUUAGAGCGCUGCACCGGAAUCGCAGGGCCGUAGGUUCAAUUCCUACCAGAGGAC
rnacentral:tRNA from 1 species